CAAAGGCUUGGUCCUGACUUUACCAUCAGCUUUAGCCCAAUUUACACAUGCAAGUCUCCGCAAACCCGUGAGAAUGCCCUCAAUCCCCCACC
rnacentral:rRNA from 1 species